GCAGCCACUCAUUCAAAGAGUGCGUAAUAGCUCACUGGUCGAGUGAUCCUGCGCCGAAGAUUUCCGGGGCUAAAACUUACUACCGAAGCUACGGCAUCAGUAAUGAUGGGUAGGGGAGCUUCCCAUACGGGUUGAAGCAUGACCGUAAGGACAUGUGGACAGUAUGGGAGUGAGAAUGUUGGCAUGAGUAGCGAGAUGUGGGUGAGAAUCCCACAGGCCGUAAACCCAAGGUUUCCAGGGGAAGGUUCGUCCGCCCUGGGUUAGUCGGGACCUAAGCUGAGGCCGAAAGGCGUAGGUGAUGGACAACAGGUUGAUAUUCCUGUACUACCGAUAACCGUUUGAGAGAAGGGAUGACACAGUAGGAUAAGCUAAGCACACUGUUGGUUAUGUGUGCCCAAGCAUUGAGGCAGUCAAAGUAGGCAAAUCCGCUUUGAUAAUGCUGGGGUGUGAUGGGGAGCGAAAUUUAGUAGCGAAGUAGCUGAUUUCACACUGUCAAGAAAAGUCUCUAUCGAGGUUAAAGGUACCCGUACCGCAAACCGACACAGGUGGGUGAGGAGAGUAUCCUAAGGCCAGCGAGAGAACUGUUGUUAAGGAACUCGGAAAAAUGACCCCGUAACUUAGGGAUAAGGGGUGCCACCAUCAGGUGGCCGCAGAGAAUAGGCCCAAGCGACUGUUUACCAAAAACAUAGGUUUCUGCUAAGUCGCAAGACGAUGUAUAGGAGCUGACGCCUGCCCGGUGCUGGAAGGUUAAGGGGAUCUGUUAGAGCAAUCGAAGCAGUGAACUUAAGCCCCAGUAAACGGCGGCCGUAACUAUAACGGUCCUAAGGUAGCGAAAU
rnacentral:rRNA from 1 species